rnacentral:rRNA from 1 species
AUGAACGCUAGCGGCAGGCUUAAUACAUGCAAGUCGAGGGGCAUCAAGGUACACGAAAGUGUAUUGUUGGCGACCGGCGGACGGGUGAGUAAUAGGUAGGUAACCUACCUCAUACUGAGGCAUAGCUGGGAGAAAUUCCAGGUAAUUCCUCAUGAGGUUAUAUGACACAUGUGAUAUAAUCAAAGGUAUCGCAAGGUACUGGUAUGAGAUGGGCUUACUGACCAUUAGCUAGUUGGUGAGAUAAGAGCUCACCAAGGCGAAGAUGGUUAGGGGUUUUGAGAGAGAGAUCCCCCACAUUGGAACUGAGACACGGUCCAGACUCCUACGGGAGGCAGCAGUGGGGAAUUUUGGACAAUGGGGGCAACCCUGAUCCAGCCAUGCCGCGUGAGUGAAGAAGGCCUUCGGGUUGUAAAGCUCUUUCGGCCGGGAAGAAAUCGUAUGGGUUAAUACCCUGUGCGGAUGACGGUACCGGCAUAAGAAGCACCGGCUAACUACGUG